AUUGAACGCUGGCGGCAGGCCUAACACAUGCAAGUCGAGCGGUAGAGAGGUGCUUGCAUCUCUUGAGAGCGGCGGACGGGUGAGUAAUGCCUAGGAAUCUGCCUGGUGGUGGGGGAUAACGUUCGGAAACGGACGCUAAUACCGCAUACGUCCUACGGGAGAAAGCGGGGGAUCUUCGGACCUCGCGCCAUUAGAUGAGCCUAGGUCGGAUUAGCUAGUUGGUGAGGUAAUGGCCUCACCAAGGCGACGAUCCGUAACUGGUCUGAGAGGAUGAUCAGUCACACUGGAACUGAGACACGGUCCAGACUCCCGUAGGGAGGCAGCAGGUGGGGAA
rnacentral:rRNA from 1 species